UUUCCCAGUCACGAUACAUACAGAGGGUGCAAGCGUUAAUCGGAUUUACUGGGCGUAAAGCGUGCGUAGGUGGUCUUUUAAGUCGGAUGUGAAAUCCCUGAGCUUGACUUAGGAAUUGCAUUCGAUACUGGGAGACUAGAGUAUGGGAGAGGAUGGUAGAAUUCCAGGUGUAGCGGUGAAAUGCGUAGAGAUCUGGAGGAAUACCGAUGGCGAAGGCAGCCAUCUGGCCUAAUACUGACGCUGAGGUACGAAAGCAUGGGGAGCAAACAGGAUUAGAUACCCUGGUAGUCCAUGCCGUAAACGAUGUCUACUAGCCGUUGGGGCCUUUGAGGCUUUAGUGGCGCAGCUAACGCGAUAAGUAGACCGCCUGGGGAGUACGGUCGCAAGACUAAAACUCAAAUGAAUUGACGGGGGCCCGCACAAGCGGUGGAGCAUGUGGUUUAAUUCGAUGCAACGCGAAGAACCUUACCUGGCCUUGACAUAGUAGAAACUUUCCAGAGAUGGAUUGGUGCCUUCGGGAAUCUACAUACAGGUGCUGCAUGGCUGUCGUCAGCUCGUGUCGUGAGAUGUUGGGUUAAGUCCCGCAACGAGCGCAACCCUUUUCCUUACUUGCCAGCAUUUCGGAUGGGAACUUUAAGGAUACUGCCAGUGACAAACUGGAGGAAGGCGGUAACGAUAUCGUGACUGGGAAACAGAUCGGAAGAGCGUCGUGU
rnacentral:rRNA from 1 species